rnacentral:rRNA from 1 species
CAUGAACGCUGGCGGCGUGCUUAACACAUGCAAGUCGAACGAAGCACUUUGGACGGAUUCUUCGGAUGAAGUCCUUAGUGACUGAGUGGCGGACGGGUGAGUAACGCGUGGGUAACCUGCCUCAUACAGGGGGAUAACAGUUAGAAAUGGCUGCUAAUACCGCAUAAGCGCACAGUACUGCAUGGUACAGUGGGAAAAACUCCGGUGGUAUGAGAUGGACCCGCGUUGGAUUAGCUAGUUGGCAGGGUAACGGCCUACCAAGGCGACGAUCCAUAGCCGGCCUGAGAGGGUGGACGGCCACAUUGGGACUGAGACACGGCCCAGACUCCUACGGGAGGCAGCAGUGGGGAAUAUUGCACAAUGGGGGAAACCCUGAUGCAGCGACGCCGCGUGAGCGAAGAAGUAUUUCGGUAUGUAAAGCUCUAUCAGCAGGGAAGAAAAUGACGGUACCUGACUAAGAAGCCCUGGCUAACUACGUGCCAGCCGCCGCGGUAAUAC